rnacentral:rRNA from 1 species
GAUGAACGCUAGCGGCAGGCCUAAUACAUGCAAGUCGAGGGGUAGAGGUUGCUUGCAACCUUGAGACCGGCGCACGGGUGCGUAACGCGUAUGCAACCUACCUUCAUCUGGGGGAUAGCCCGGAGAAAUCCGGAUUAAUACCGCAUAAAAUCACAGUACGGCAUCGUACAAUGAUCAAACAUUUAUGGGAUGGAGAUGGGCAUGCGUGUCAUUAGUUAGUUGGCGGGGUAACGGCCCACCAAGACCGCGAUGACUAGGGGAUCUGAGAGGAUGACCCCCCACACUGGUACUGAGACACGGACCAGACUCCUACGGGAGGCAGCAGUAAGGAAUAUUGGUCAAUGGGGGCAACCCUGAACCAGCCAUGCCGCGUGCAGGAAGACGGCCCUCUGGGUUGUAAACUGCUUUUAUUCGGGAAUAAACCUGCUUACGUGUAAGUAGCUGAAUGUACCGAAGGAAUAAGGAUCGGCUAACUCCGUG